rnacentral:tRNA from 1 species
AGAAGUUUAAGUUAACACAACAGACUGAGGGCCUUCAAAGCCCUAAGUAGCGGUGAAAAUCCCCUAACUCCUG